CCGGACAGGAUGUCCGGUGGUUCCAUUCUCACGAUGUUUUGCCGUAAGGCAAAACUCGAAGCUGAAAAAUGUACACGGAUGUACAUUUUUCAGCGAGU
rfam:Treponema denticola ATCC 35405, complete genome.